rnacentral:rRNA from 1 species
UACGUAUUCAGCGAGCGUUGUUCGGAGUUACUGGGCGUAAAGGGUGUGUAGGCGGUUGUUUAAGUUUGGUGUGAAAUCCCUCAGCUUAACUGGGGAACUGCGUCUGAUACUGGCGAGCUUGAGUGCAGGAGAGGAACGCGGAAUUCCAGGUGUAGCGGUGAAAUGCGUAGAUAUCUGGAGGAACACCGGUGGCGAAGGCGGCGUUCUGGACUGUAACUGACACUGAGAAACGAAAGCCAGGGUAGCAAACGGG